CAGGCUUAACACAUGCAAGUCGAGGGGCAGCAUGGUCUUAGCUUGCUAAGGCCGAUGGCGACCGGCGCACGGGUGAGUAACACGUAUCCAACCUGCCGUCUACUCUUGGACAGCCUUCUGAAAGGAAGAUUAAUACAAGAUGGCAUCAUGAGUCCGCAUGUUCACAUGAUUAAAGGUAUUCCGGUAGACGAUGGGGAUGCGUUCCAUUAGAUAGUAGGCGGGGUAACGGCCCACCUAGUCUUCGAUGGAUAGGGGUUCUGAGAGGAAGGUCCCCCACAUUGGAACUGAGACACGGUCCAAACUCCUACGGGAGGCAGCAGUGAGGAAUAUUGGUCAAUGGGCGAGAGCCUGAACCAGCCAAGUAGCGUGAAGGAUGACUGCCCUAUGGGUUGUAAACUUCUUUUAUAAAGGAAUAAAGUCGGGUAUGGAUACCCGUUUGCAUGUACUUUAUGAAUAAGGAUCGGCUAACUCCGUGCCAGCAGCCGCGGUAAUACGGAGGAUCCGAGCGUUAUCCGGAUUUAUUGGGUUUAAAGGGAGCGUAGAUGGAUGUUUAAGUCAGUUGUGAAAGUUUGCGGCUCAACCGUAAAAUUGCAGUUGAUACUGGAUAUCUUGAGUGCAGUUGAGGCAGGCGGAAUUCGUGGUGUAGCGGUGAAAUGCUUAGAUAUCACGAAGAACUCCGAUUGCGAAGGCAGCCUGCUAAGCUGCAACUGACAUUGAGGCUCGAAAGUGUGGGCAUCAAACAGGAUUAGAUACCCUGGUAGUCCACACGGUAAACGAUGAAUACUCGCUGUUUGCGAUAUACAGCAAGCGGCCAAGCGAAAGCGUUAAGUAUUCCACCUGGGGAGUACGCCGGCAACGGUGAAACUCAAAGGAAUUGACGGGGGCCCGCACAAGCGGAGGAACAUGUGGUUUAAUUCGAUGAUACGCGAGGAACCUUACCCGGGCUUAAAUUGCAGAUGAAUUACGGUGAAAGCCGUAAGCCGCAAGGCAUCUGUGAAGGUGCUGCAUGGUUGUCGUCAGCUCGUGCCGUGAGGUGUUGGCUUAAGUGCCAUAACGAGCGCAACCCUUGUUGUCAGUUACUAACAGGUCCCGCUGAGGACUCUGACAAGACUGCCAUCGUAAGAUGUGAGGAAGGUGGGGAUGACGUCAAAUCAGCACGGCCCUUACGUCCGGGGCUACACACGUGUUACAAUGGGGGGUACAGAGGGCCGCUACCACGCGAGUGGAUGCCAAUCCCCAAAACCUCUCUCAGUUCGGACUGGAGUCUGCAACCCGACUCCACGAAGCUGGAUUCGCUAGUAAUCGCGCAUCAGCCACGGCGCGGUGAAUACGUUCCCGGGCCUUGUACACACCGCCCGUCAAGCCAUGGGAGCCGGGGGUACCUGAAGUGCGUAACCGCGAGGAGCGCCCUAGGGUAAAACUGGUGACUGGGGCUAAGUCAUAAC
rnacentral:rRNA from 1 species